AUACGGAGGGUGCAAGCGUUAUCCGGAUUUAUUGGGUUUAAAGGGUCCGUAGGCGGACUCGUAAGUCAGUGGUGAAAUCUCAUAGCUUAACUAUGAAACUGCCAUUGAUACUGCGGGUCUUGAGUAAGGUAGAGGUAGCUGGAAUAAGUAGUGUAGCGGUGAAAUGCAUAGAUAUUACUUAGAACACCAAUUGCGAAGGCAGGUUACCAUGUCUUAACUGACGCUGAUGGACGAAAGCGUGGGGAGCGAACAGGAUUAGAUACCCUGGUAGUCCACGCCGUAAACGAUGCUAACUCGUUUUUGGGUCUUCGGAUUCAGAGACUAAGCGAAAGUGAUAAGUUAGCCACCUGGGGAGUACGAACGCAAGUUUGAA
rnacentral:rRNA from 1 species